UAAUACAGAGGGUGCGAGCGUUGUCCGGAAUCACUGGGCGUAAAGGGCGCGUAGGUGGCUUGGUAAGCGUGUGGUGAAAGUCCGGGGCUCAACCCCGGAUCUGCCGUGCGAACUGCUGAGCUGGAGCACUGUAGAGGCAGGUGGAAUUUCGGGUGUAGCGGUGGAAUGCGUAGAUAUCCGAAAGAACACCAGUGGCGAAGGCGGCCUGCUGGGCAGUUGCUGACACUGAGGCGCGACAGCGUGGGGAGCAAACAGGAUUAGAUACCCUGGUAGUCCACGCCGUAAACGAUGGGUACUAGGUGUCUGGGGGAGCGACCCCCUGGGUGCCGACGCUAACGCAUGAAGUACCCCGCCUGGGGAGUACGGCCGCAAGGCUG
rnacentral:rRNA from 1 species